rnacentral:rRNA from 1 species
UGAGAUGGACCCGCGUCUGAUUAGCUAGUUGGUAAGGUAACGGCUUACCAAGGCGACGAUCAGUAGCCGACCUGAGAGGGUGAUCGGCCACAUUGGAACUGAGACACGGUCCAAACUCCUACGGGAGGCAGCAGUGGGGAAUAUUGCACAAUGGAGGGAACUCUGAUGCAGCGACGCCGCGUGAGCGAAGAAGGAAUUCGUUUCGUAAAGCUCUGUCCUAUGGGAAGAUAAUGACGGUACCAUAGAAGAAAGCCCCGGCUAACUACGUGCCAGCAGCCGCGGUAAUACGUAGGGGGCGAGCGUUGUCCGGAAUUAUUGGGCGUAAAGGGUUCGUAGGCGGUAAUACAUGUCAGAUGUGAAAUCUUGUGGCUUAACCACAUCAAGCAUCUGAAACUGUAUAACUUGAGUGGAGGAGAGGUAAGUGGAAUUCCUAGUGUAGCGGUGAAAUGCGUAGAUAUUAGGAAGAAUACCAGUAGCGAAGGCGACUUACUGGCCUCUAACUGACGCUGAUGAACGAAAGCGUGGGUAGCAAACAGGAUUAGAUACCCUGGUAGUCCACGCCGUAAACGAUGAGUGCUAGGUGUCGGGAGUCAAAUCUCGGUGCCGUAGUUAACGCAAUAAGCACUCCGCCUGGGGAGUACGUGCGCAAGCAUGAAACUCAAAGGAAUUGACGGGGACCCGCACAAGCAGCGGAGCAUGUGGUUUAAUUCGAAGCAACGCGAAGAACCUUACCAGGACUUGACAUACUAGUGCCAAAUGUAGAGAUACAUUAUUUCCUCGGAACACUAAUACAGGUGGUGCAUGGUUGUCGUCAGCUCGUGUCGUGAGAUGUUGGGUUAAGUCCCGCAACGAGCGCAACCCCUAUGUUUAUUUGCCAGCAUUUCGGAUGGGAACUAUAGACAGACUGCCGAUAAGAAAUCGGAGGAAGGUGGGGAUGACGUCAAAUCAUCAUGCCCUAUAUGUCCUGGGCUACACACGUGCUACAAUGGUCGUUACAGAGAGCAGCUACACAGUGAUGUCACGCGAAUCUCAAAAAGGCGAUCUCAGUUCGGAUUGUACUCUGCAACUCGAGUACAUGAAGUCGGAGUUGCUAGUAAUCGCAAAUCAGAAUGUUGCGGUGAAUGCGUUCCCGGGUCUUGUACUCACCGCCCGUCA